GUGGGGAAUCUUAGACAAUGGGCGCAAGCCUGAUCUAGCCAUGCCGCGUGAGUGAUGAAGGCCCUAGGGUUGUAAAGCUCUUUCAGCUGGGAAGAUAAUGACGGUACCGGAGGAAUAAGCACCGGCUAACUUCGUGCCAGCAGCCGCGGUAAUACGAAGGGUGCAAGCGUUAUCCGGAUUCAUUGGGUUUAAAGGGUGCGUAGGCGGAGCGUUAAGUCAGUGGUGAAAUCCUGCAGCUUAACUGUAGACUUGCCAUUGAUACUGGCGCUCUUGAGUGCGCUUGAAGUGGGCGGAAUGUGCCGUGUAGCGGUGAAAUGCUUAGAUAUGGCACAGAACACCAAUUGCGAAGGCAGCUCACUAAGGCGAUACUGACGCUGAGGCACGAAAGCGUGGGGAUCGAACAGGAUUAGAAACCCUGGUAGUCC
rnacentral:rRNA from 1 species